rnacentral:lncRNA from 1 species
UUUCUGUUUGUUUGUUUAUCUCAUCCAUUGUCUUGUCAACAUCAUCAAUGUUCCUAUAUGUAAGCCUUGUCAAAGUUGAGUUGCUAAAGAAUAUACGUAUUGUGAAGAAUACUAAGAUAUCAAUAGUACGCAAUUUAUCUAUACCGGAUUGUUGAAGAGCAAAAUGAUGCCACCCUAGCUGGAUUUUUGGAACCCCCGAAAUAGAGGAGCAGAGAAAUAUUGCAGAGACAACAGAUGCAGUCGCCGGCCAAGAGGGAAGAAAGAAGAAGAUAUGAUUUGAGCAGCUUGUGUGAAUUGUGAUGACUUGGGCUAUUGGGCCUUUUUUUUUUAAAAAAACAAAUAGAGUGGCCCAAAUCAAUGAAAUCGUCCAUUAAUGAUUAGGGAAAAUUAGGUGUAGUACCCUAAAAAAUUUAAAUAUUUGAUUAAUACCUUAAAACUAAUUUAAAACUAUUAUUACCGUAUUAAUUACGUUCAAGACUCACGAAAAAAACACCCAAAUCUGAAACCCCUGCAAUAAAAAAAAACCUUGAGAAACAAGCCUCUAUUGCAGACAUUUUUGUUGAAAUUUAUCACCAAAGGCGCGGUGGAAAGCAACAACACCACCAACAGUAGCCACGGGUAUUGAUUUGGUCGCCAGAGGUAAGAGCAAGAAAACCAAGCGCACUGCUCCUAAAUCCAAUGAUAUUUACCUCCAGCUUCUAGUCAGUCUGUGUUGAUUCCUCGGAGGAGAAUUGGAAGUGAGUUCAAUGCAGUUAUAUUGAAGAGACUGUUCAUGAGCAAGGUUAACAAGGCCACACUUUCUCUCUCGUCUUGUCACUUCGUGAAGGGCAAGGAAGACAAAAUUGCAGUGCUUGUUGGGACUGUGUCACUGAUGAUAUUCUGGCUUAUGAAGUCCUUGCAAUGAAGGUAACAGCUUUGAGAUUCACAGAGAAAGCAAGGUUGAGAAGGCAGAGAAGAAUGCUUAAAUUUUAGUCAGCUAGCUCAGAGCUCCUCUUGGGCAAAACACGGUAGUGAAUAUUCCAGUCUUUUUCUUGAUAAUUUUAAUGUUGCUAGAGUUUGAUAUAGUUGGUAGUAUAGAACGGUGGAAAUGAGAUUUUUAACCAAUAACAUGAAUAUCAUUUUGUCAGUGAUUUCAAUUAUGCAAUGAUUGUUGUGUUCACUAGUUUGAUAGUUUGAUUCAUUAUUUCCUUUGAACUAGUAUUUAAGGUUUGAUAUGGAUUCUGUUACUCACAAAAAUUGCUUUGUUAAAGAUUUUUUUUUUUUUUUUGGCUCAAUGUUCAACUAUUUUGGUCUUGCUCACAGCUAUGAUUCUGCUGGUAAAUUUUGCCAUUUUUGUUUGUGCUACAAAAACCUUGUGCCGUUAUGAAACCUAAAAUAGCUAACUGUGCUAUUUUGAUGCAGGUACUUCUUAGAGGACCCGUGAAGUCUCGUGAGGCAGCGAAGCACUUUGGUCCAACUCCUAGUGUUCCACACAGCCACACCAAGCCGAAUGUGAGAGCCAAGGGUAGGAAAUUUGAGCGUGCUAGAGGUACAAGAAGCAGCAGAGGUUUUAAGGUCACAACCAUUAGUUAUUGCUAAGUUGAUGGCUAUUUUUUUUUAUAUUUUAUCAGAUAUUCUAUGAAAUGUUUUGUCUCACUAUGUAUUCCCCACCCCGAUUCUUUUCUUGUGUUCUCUCAUCCUUUUUUUUUUUUUUUUUUUUUUUUUUUUUUUUGUUCAUUUUUUUAUAAAUUNNNNNNNNNNNNNNNNNNNNNNNNNNNNNNNNNNNNNNCUCUUCGAUGCAAUUGUUAUCACAUUUGCUACUAUAAUGUUACUUGUGAAUUUCUAUCACGUGGAUUGUCCUAGACGUGCUUAUUAUGUUAAAAAUCGCUACUACACUUAUGUAAAUUGUACUGAACAUGUUGAUUAUGUUAAGAACAUGAUUACGGGUGCCGCGCAAAUGAAUGAUGCUAUUUUGGUGUUUGUCAUUUUUUUAUUUUAUUUUAUUUUAUUUUUUGAGUUUGUGUCUUCUUUUUUUUCAUUUUUCUUGAUUUUGUCACUUUUUUUUAUUAAAUUUGCCACUUCUUUUAAGUUUGUGUCACUUUUUCGAAUUAUAAAAAAAGUGACAAUUUUUAUAAAAGAGUGACAUUGCGUCACUUUUUAAUUUUACAUAGUUUAUUUCAUGGGUCACAAAUCAAAAAUUUUAUAGGUCACAAUUUUGUUGGUCACAAAUUAAUGAAUUUUAAGGUUACAAUUUAAUUGUUAGUCACAAAGAACCAAAUAUUUGGUCAUAUACACUAAACGCUCUACCCUGCUCUCGAUCUACUACCAAUUCUUGGUCAUAAAUCAACCAAAUAAUUGAUCACAAAACACUCGUCAUCACAUCCCACUGCCACCACUACAUCGCUACUGCUAACAAUAAUAACAACAAAAACAACACAAUGCCACACUAUAUUGUAUUUGUAUUCUUUGUGUUGAUGAACUUAGUUUCAUUACAAAAAAUAUCGUGCACGUACAAUCCAUUAGGACAACAAUUUAGGUGAUUUUUUUCACUUGUAUAUUCAUUAUCUUGUGUCCAUUUGCCUCCAUAACAAACGAAAACAUUAAUUUUAUCCAUACCUGGAAAAAGAUUGCAAAAAAAAUUGUGAGUUUUUUUUUUUUAAAUGACAGAGUAAUAUGCAUCUAGUUAAUUGCGCUAGUGAGAUACCAUGACUUUUUGAGAAUGUCACUUUUUCACAUUCUCUUUAAACAAUCACUUUUUCACAUUCUCUUUAAACAAACACGUUUCAUGCAUCAAUGUAAUUGAUUCAAAGUUUUUCUAUUUCAUAUAUAUUACCAGAAAACAGUGCUUGAAUUGGUAUGUUCAAAUUUUCAAAAAAUGCACACGUAUGCAUCUAUUUAAUUGUUCGAAUGAUAUGAUGUGACUUUUUAUUGAAAAUAGUGACAAAAUAUGUUGUCACUUUUUCAUAGAAAAGUGACAGAAUCACAUUCUCCUUGAGCAAAAGCCUUACAUGCACCAAUGUAAUUAAUUCAAAAUUUUCUUUUUUAUAUGUAUUACCAAAAAACAGGAAUUGAAUUGGUAUAUUCAAAUUUCAAAAAUACAAACGUAAUCACGUAUAAAAUUACUUAAUUGCUCCAAUGAUAUGGUAAUGGUAUGACUUUUUUUGAAAAAAAGUGACAAAAUGUCACUCUACAUGAGCAAACACCUUGCACGCAUCCACGUACUCGAUUCAAAGUUUUCUUUUUCAUAUAUAUUACCAAAGAACAGGGGAUGAAUUAGUAUGUUCAAACUUUCAAAAAAGCAUACGUAUGCAUCAAGUUAAUUAUUCCAAUGAGAAAUGGUGAUUGUUUUGGAGAAAGGUCAUAAAAUGUCACAUUUUCGUCGAAAAGUGACACAAUGUCACUUUUUUUUAGAAAAGUAACAGAAUGUCAAUCUUCAUGAGCAAACAUCUUACAUGCAUCCAUGUAAGUGAAUCAGAGUUUUCUUUUUCAUAAAUACUACUAGAAAACAUGCCAUGAAUUAGUAUGUUCAUACUUUCAAAAAAGUACAUCUAUGCAUCAGGUUAAUUACUCCAAUAAUAAAGCGUGACUAUUUUGGAAAAAAAGUGGCAAAAUGCCGCUUUUUCUUAGAAAAGUGACACAAUGUCACUUUUUUUGAGAAAAAGUGAUAGAAUGUCAUACUUUCCAUGAGCAAACACCUUACACACAUCCAUGUAGUGGAUUCAAAGUUUUUUUUUUCCAUAUGUAUUAUCAGAAAACAAAGCAUAAAUUGGUAUGUUCAAAAUUUUAGAAAAGCACAUGUGUGCAUCUAAUUAAUUGCUCCAAUGAUAAAGUGUGACUAUUUUGGAGAAAGGUCACAGAAUGUCACUUUUUCGUAAAAAAGUGACACAACGUCACUUUUUUUUUAAGAAAAGUGACAGGAUGUCACCCUCUCCAUGUGCAAACACAUUGCAUGCAUCCAUAUAAUUGAUUCAAAGUUUUCAUUUUCAUAUGUAUUCUCACAUAACAGGGCAUGAAUUGGUAUGUUUAAAUUUUAAAAAAAGCACACGUAUGCAUCCGGUUAAUUGUUCCAAUGAUAAAGGGUGAUUGUUCUUGUAGAAAGGUAACGAAUGUCACCUUUUCGUUGAAAAGUGACAUAAUGUCACUUUUUUUAGAAAGGUGACAGUAUGUCACUCUUCAUGAUCAAACAUCUUGCAAGCAUCCAUGUAGUCGAUUCAAAGUUUUCUUUUUCAUAUGUAUUACCAAAAAAUAAGAUAUGAAUUAGUACAUUCAAAUUUUCAAAAAAGCACACAUAUGCAUCCGAUUAAUUACUCCAAUGAUAAAUAGUGACUGUUUUGGAGAAAGGUCACAAAAUGUCACUUUUUCUAAGAAAAGUGACAGAAUUCCACUUUCUCACCUUCUCCUAUGAGCAAACACAUUGCAAGCGUCAAUGCAAUUGGUUCAAAGUUUUCUUUCUCAUGUGUAUUACCAAAAAAUAUGACUUGAAUAUAUACAUUCAAAUUUCCAAAAACUCACACAUGUAUAUCUAGCUAAUUGCUCAAGAGAAUGAUGUGACUUUUUUUGAGAAAAAUGACAGAAUGCCACUUUCUCACCUUUUUCUUUGAGCAAACACAAUGCAAGCAUCAAUGCAAUUGGUUUAAAAUUUUCUUUCUAAUGUGUAUUACUAGAAAAUAGAGCUUGAAUAUGUACGUCCAAAUUUCCAAAAACUCACACAUGCAUACCUAUUUAAUUGCUCAAAAGAAAUGCCUUGACUUUUUUUCAGAAAGGUGACAGAAUUCCACUUUCUCACCUUCUCUUUUGAACAAACACAUUGCAAGCAUCAAUGCUAUUGGUUUAAAGUUUUCUUUCUCAUACGUAUUACCGAUUAAUAAGGCUUGAAUAUGUACGUUCAAAUUUCCAAAAACUCACAUGUGCAUACCUAGCUAAUUGCUUAAAAGAGAUGCUGUGACAUUUUUUGAAAAAAGUGAUAGAAAGCCACUUUUUCACAUUAUCUUUUUGUCAAACACCUUGCAAGCAUCAAUUUAAUUAAUUCAAAACUAAUUUUUCAUAUAUAUUGACACAAUCCACUCAACUUCAACAAUUUUAUUUUCAUACAUGUUUCCAAUCAAAUUAAUAAAAUCGUCAAAAAGAAACUUCAUAAAUGUUAAUUAUACAUUAUGAGAUUUAAACUAAAUCUAAUCAUGAAAUUCAAACAAAAAUGAGAUGGAUAAUGAGCUAUAAUCAUGGAAUCCAAAACAUAGAAAUACCUGUAAUUUUGUUUGUGGCUUUGUGGAAGAUCUCCUCGACUUUUUUUCCAAAUUUUUCAAUGUUUUUGUGGUGUGCCGUGCGAGAUUGUGCGAAUUGCAAAGGAGAAGAAGCCGUGUGCAGUGUGGGCCAAGGUCCUCAGGGUGAGUUCAUUGUUCUUCAUACUUGGAAGUCUUGAAUGGUUGAAUUGUUUUUGUUUUUGUUGAAUUCUUUUGGUUCAAAUCCUUUCAUUAUCUUAUCUAUUUUUGGUGAAUUGCGAUUGCGAAAUGAAAUCAGGAUCUCUUUUCGUUGAAUUGUUGAAACUUGAAUGUUGAAUUAUUGAUUUGUUGCACUUGUUCGUUGAGACUUGAGAGGGUUGUCUUGCCUGCCUAAUGUAUUUUGGAUUUGGUAGGUAUUAGGUAGAAUUUAUUUAUAAUUGAUAAUAUUAUUUAAUCAAAUUUAAAUAAAUGACCGACUGCCAGUCGGACCUGACUAUUACGAUCGUUGAUUAUCGACGGUCAACGAUCAAAGUCAACAUCCGCCCUAGAUGUACAUGCGUCUUGGAUUCGCCACUGGAUAAACAAAUGAGUAAGUGCACAAAGGUAAAAGAGUGAUAAUAAUUUAUGCAACAAUGGAAAAAGUAGACAAUCAAAAAAAAAAUAUGAAACUCCAUCUUAUCACCAUUAAUAAAUGGCAAAUUUCAAUAAAAUAGCCCUACUCGGCCCACUUCAUCUGGGAAAUUGUCUGAUGCAAAAAUGAGAAGACAUAAUAUUAACCUAGAAACACACGAUCGAUAAUGGUGUGGCACGGUGGUGGCGGAAGGUUGAGAGAGAAGUGAGAAGAUGGCAUCAAGGCAGACAGGUGGGUUUUGCUAUUUCAGGUUGUUCUCGCACAUGCGACAAGAGGGAUUGAAUGAGGCCUUUCAAUCUGAGUUUUUCAUUGUCAUAUAUAAAAAAAAAAAAAUCAGAGGCGACUUAAAUUGUUAGGCCUGAGGCAUGGGCCUCACUUGCCUUUGCCCAAUCCGGGCUUGCCUCAAAUCCAAUGUAGAAAAUACACUAGAAAAAAAAAAAAGAAAAGAAAAGGACCCUCAACCAACAUUCCACUUCAAGAAUAUGAUCCCUUCCCAAAACUCAGACCAACCAACAAAAAAUCCAAUAAAGUAACAAAAAGGGAAUCUUUACUAUUUUUGGGAAAAUUUUCUAUCUUCUUGAAUGUUCAAUAAAAAAAAAAUUCACUUAAUUGCAACAUUUUUAGGGGGAAAAAAAACCACAAACCCCAUUUUCACAAAAAACAGCACAAUUCCAAAAAAAAAAAAUUAAUAAUAAUAAUAAUAAUAAUAAUAAUAAUAAUAAUAAUAAUAAUAAUAAUAAUAAUAAUAAUAAUAAUAAUUUGGGUUUCUUGAAAUGGAACAAAUUUGUACCUUUGACACCAAAAUCCCUCAUUCAACAAAAACAUUAUUAACAGAAAAUUUUGUGAAAAAAUAAUGUAAAGUUCUGAAUUUGAGUAGAUCAGUGGAACAAAACUACUGAAGCAUUCAAUUGACUGAAUUCAGUGUAGAUUCAGCUCAAAAUGGAACAAUUUUAUUUCAUUAUUUCAUAUUUCAAGUGUUAUUUCCCCCAUUAUAGGCUACAACCGAAACAAUAAUUUCAAAUCUAACAUAGAUUUUCAAAGAUUCUCAUAUUUUUAUCAAUGAAUUAUUGAACACGUAAUGGUAAAACUGUAGAAUCGGGUCUUAUUACUAUCUGAAUUAAGCAACAUAUGACGAAUUCUUGAUUUCUAAAGUGUUGCAAACUACGAGAAUUCAAAAUUAAGCCAUCCAAACUUUCACUCCUUAUUUGAUAACUGAAUUUCAAUAAAAAUUACAUGCCAGUGUUCAUAGACACAAAUAGGUUCAGAAUAAAUUUCUAUAAAUAGUGGGAAAGAAAUACUUACCUGCUCGCCAGAUUGUACGAUUAUACCCAAAAAAAAAAAAAAAGUUUUCCAAGCAAGUUUUGAGGAAUAUUACAUACCUCUCGCCAGAUUGUAGGACCUCGUCAGAGUGGUAACAGACGGAGGACGUCGUCGUGUAGGCUAAUUGGAGAAGGCGUCGAGUGAAGUGAGAUAGAAGAGAGGAAUCGUGAGCAAAAGGGCCAAGUUUCUGUUGUUUUAAUUAGAAAUUUUACUAUAGCGGGUUUGAGCAUGUUUUGGACAUUUUGAGCAUUUUCAACUAAAAACCCCCAAAUUGAAAAAAAAAA